UAGAUAAAAGUUCGAUGGUUUAAACGCUUAACUGUUAAUUAAGAUAUUGUAGGAUCGAGGCCUGCUUAUCUAG
rnacentral:tRNA from 1 species